CGCACAUUGCGCCCGCCGGCAUCCCGGCGGGCAUGCCUGUUCGAGCGUCAUUUCAACCCUCAGGCCCAGCCUGGUGAUGGGGCGCCGCUCCGCGCGGCCCCCGAAAAGCAGUGGCGGGCUCGCUGUGAACCCGGGCGUAGUAGCACACCUCGCCCUGGGAGCACGGCGGCACCCUGCCGUUAAACACCCCACAAACACAAGGUUGACCUCGGAUCAGGUAGGAAUACCCGCUGAACUUAAGCAUAUCAAUAAGCGGAGGAAAAGAAACCAACAGGGAUUGCCUCAGUAACGGCGAGUGAAGCGGCAACAGCUCAAAUUUGAAAGCUGGCCUCACGGCCCGCGUUGUAAUUUGCAGAGGAUGAUUCGGGCGAGGCCCCUUCUGAGUCCCCUGGAACGGGGCGCCACAGAGGGUGAGAGCCCCGUAUAGCAGGCGGCCGAGCCCAUGUGAAUCUCCUUCGACGAGUCGAGUAGUUUGGGAAUGCUGCUCUAAAUGGGAGGUAAAUUCCUUCUAAAGCUAAAUACCGGCCAGAGACCGAUAGCGCACAAGUAGAGUGAUCGAAAGAUGAAAAGCACUUUGAAAAGAGGGUUAAAUAGCACGUGAAAUUGCUGAAAGGGAAGCGCUCCUGACCAGACGCGCGCCGGGCGGAUCAUCCAGCGUUCUCGCUGGUGCACUCCGCCCGGCGCGGGCCAGCAUCGGUUCUCGUGGGGGGACAAAGCCGCCGGAAAGUAGCUCCCUC
rnacentral:rRNA from 1 species